GACGAACGCUGGCGGCGUGCUUAACACAUGCAAGUCGAACGGAAAGGCCCUGCUUUUGUGGGGUGCUCGAGUGGCGAACGGGUGAGUAACACGUGAGUAACCUGCCCUUGACUUUGGGAUAACUUCAGAAAACUGGGGCUAAUACCGGAUAGGAGCUCCUGCUGCAUGGUGGGGGUUGGAAAGUUUCGGCGGUUGGGGAUGGACUCGCGGCUUAUCAGCUUGUUGGUGGGGUAGUGGCUUACCAAGGCUUUGACGGGUAGCCGGCCUGAGAGGGUGACCGGCCACAUUGGGACUGAGAUACGGCCCAGACUCCUACGGGAGGCAGCAGUGGGGAAUAUUGCACAAUGGGCGGAAGCCUGAUGCAGCAACGCCGCGUGCGGGAUGACGGCCUUCGGGUUGUAAACCGCUUUCGCCUGUGACGAAGCGUGAGUGACGGUAAUGGGUAAAGAAGCACCGGCUAACUACGUGCCAGCAGCCGCGGUGAUACGUAGGGUGCGAGCGUUGUCCGGAUUUAUUGGGCGUAAAGGGCUCGUAGGUGGUUGAUCGCGUCGGAAGUGUAAUCUUGGGGCUUAACCCUGAGCGUGCUUUCGAUACGGGUUGACUUGAGGAAGGUAGGGGAGAAUGGAAUUCCUGGUGGAGCGGUGGAAUGCGCAGAUAUCAGGAGGAACACCAGUGGCGAAGGCGGUUCUCUGGGCCUUUCCUGACGCUGAGGAGCGAAAGCGUGGGGAGCGAACAGGCUUAGAUACCCUGGUAGUCCACGCUGUAAACGGUGGGUACUAGGUGUGGGGUCCAUUCCACGGGUUCCGUGCCGUAGCUAACGCUUUAAGUACCCCGCCUGGGGAGUACGGCCGCAAGGCUAAAACUCAAAGGAAUUGACGGGGCCCCGCACAAGCGGCGGAGCAUGCGGAUUAAUUCGAUGCAACGCGUAGAACCUUACCUGGGUUUGACAUGGAUCGGGAGCGCUCAGAGAUGGGUGUGCCUCUUUUGGGGUCGGUUCACAGGUGGUGCAUGGCUGUCGUCAGCUCGUGUCGUGAGAUGUUGGGUUAAGUCCCGCAACGAGCGCAACCCUUGUUCACUGUUGCCAGCACGUUAUGGUGGGGACUCAGUGGAGACCGCCGGGGUCAACUCGGAGGAAGGUGGGGAUGACGUCAAGUCAUCAUGCCCCUUAUGUCCAGGGCUUCACGCAUGCUACAAUGGCUGGUACAGAGAGUGGCGAGCCUGUGAGGGUGAGCGAAUCUCGGAAAGCCGGUCUCAGUUCGGAUUGGGGUCUGCAACUCGACCUCAUGAAGUCGGAGUCGCUAGUAAUCGCAGAUCAGCAACGCUGCGGUGAAUACGUUCCCGGG
rnacentral:rRNA from 1 species